UGCGGGUUGAUGUAACAGUUAACAUAUUUGGCUCAUGCCCAAAAAUUAAAGGUGCGAAUCCUUUACCCGCAU
rnacentral:tRNA from 4 species